ACUUUGGAUAUCUAACUAUUAUAUCAACACAAUGUUAUAUGAAAACUCGUGUAUGAUGUAUAUCUCCCUAAUUGGGACGUUACGACGUUCUAGAAACGUAGUAUGAAGGCGCAGAGGCGUUAGAACUAAAGA
ncrna:unclassified sequences RAGATH-7-assoc RNA